CUUCGUUCGUUUUGAAGGUGUUUCUAAAGGAAGAACAAAAAAAAAGAAAAUGAAGGAAAAAAAAGAAGGUAUUACGUGAACCAAUGUGCACGUGCAAUGACAAAUGUGGACACUGAAUAUCUUCGAAGAGUUCUACUCAUUGUCAAAUAAUACGCACACGAUAUGCGAUGCGCACAAUAGUCGAAGGGGUCUCUCUGAUCUCGAAGAUCAGAAUGAAGAGCCGACAUAUCACCACCAGCAUGUUCACCUAAUCUUCGAAUCGUUUCUGCCAAGGGUCCGCUCAAUGCUUGCAAUCUUCUCCAAGAUUGAGCGUACUGUCUUCUCACUAGUUCUAUGAUGGUACUGGUCAAUGCUAAGCCCACCAGGAUGUAUAAGCAGAAACUGUGCAAACGGAACAAGCAAUCGUCGCGGACUGAUGCAGAUUCCACAAGGAUCUUCGAUUACUUCAAACACGUCUCUCCCGAAUAAGAUCGAAUGGAACUCCAUCUCUUCGGUUUUAUCUACCAAUUCAAUUUACCCGCCACUCCAAGCGUCAUCUAACGACGAAGCGUUCAAACUAAUUUUCUCUUUUUUCUUUGUUUUCUUUCUUUCUUUUUUUUUUUUUUUCAUUUAUUUUAUAUCAAUUAUAAACUAUUAUCGCGUAACAAGAGACAUAUUGUAAAUGAUUAGUAUUAAAUAAAAGUUUCUUCGAUCAUUUUUAAA